rnacentral:rRNA from 1 species
GACGAACGCUGGCGGCGUGCUUAACACAUGCAAGUCGAACGGUAAGGCCCUUCGGGGUACACGAGUGGCGAACGGGUGAGUAACACGUGGGUGAUCUGCCCUGCACUUCGGGAUAAGCCUGGGAAACUGGGUCUAAUACCGGAUAGGACUCCGGACUGCAUGGUCUGGGGUGGAAAGCUUUUGCGGUGUGGGAUGGGCCCGCGGCCUAUCAGCUUGUUGGUGGGGUGAUGGCCUACCAAGGCGACGACGGGUAGCCGGCCUGAGAGGGUGACCGGCCACACUGGGACUGGGAUACGGCCCAGACUCCUACGGGAGGCAGCAGUGGGGAAUAUUGCACAAUGGGCGCAAGCCUGAUGCAGCGACGCCGCGUGAGGGAUGACGGCCUUCGGGUUGUAAACCUCUUUCAGCAUCGACGAAGCGAGAGUGACGGUAGGUGCAGAAGAAGGACCGGCCAUCUACGUGCCAGCCGCCGCCGUAA